CUCUGAAUUUUCCUCUCUCUCUCUCUCUCUCGACUUCUCCCGCUAUCUCCAGGGGUUUUACUGGAUCCACGCGCGCCAAUGGAGACGUCUCACAGAUUGUACAAAGAAAAUCCGGUAGCCAUAACCUGGAGGCAUUCUGAACCGAUUACUAUGAGGCAACUUAUGCAGUUGUGAGAUGAAUUCUGGAAUACUGCUUCUCAAUGUGGUGGUAGGAAAGUGCUCACUCCUGUUGAGAUUUAUGAAGGGUUGAUUUCCUGACGCAAAUGUGGUGAUUUAGUUGAAAAAUGGGAGCGUGUGCUUGCAAAUGUGCGUGCCACUGUUAUCAACUGGAUGUGCAAUGUUUGGCUAUGAAUUUUACAGGGUUUACCAUUUUUUGAGAGGGGAAAGUUAUGAUGGGCGCAGGAGAUCUGUGAAUAAUGAUAAAAUAUGUAACAGUAGAUGUAGAGAUUUUGCUUAUGAGAGUGAAUGGAUAAUAUUGUAAGAAAUCUUCCAGCAUUGUCAUAAUGUCUCACCUCAAUGAAGAAAGCAAUUAUCUACUAGUUAGUAUGAACAUUGAUUAAGAGCUAAAUUAACUCUCAGGAUAGUGAUACUGUAGCAUUUUCCUUUGAUGAUAUGGCACUGAAUUUACUGCAACACUAGAACUUAAAAGAGAUCUCAAAAAGUGACUAAAGCAGUAUUAUGAGACUCAACUCUUUGGAUGAUGAUAAAAAUUGUUCGCUGCUGCUGCGUCUACUUUGAAUUUGUAAAAUGAGAACUUUGAUUUAGUCAGUUGAUUUGUAUUUGAAGCUCUUCAUACCAUGAAAUGAGAUUUCUGUUCUGUCAGUUAUUUGUAUAAGAAGCUUGUUAUACCAUUCUUGGCCUCUUCAUUCAAAUACGGAUUCUAGAUUCAUUUGACAAAGUACUAUCUUGAUCCUGGAGUUGGAGUAAGCUAUUAUCCAUUUGUAACAACAAAAUAGGAAUUAGAGAGGGCAUCUUAUCUGGGUCAAAAUAAUUCAAUACUGACUUCCUAGAUAUUACUGAAUGCAAUUCUUACUUUUGUAGUGCUUCAUUGGUCUAUUUUAGUAUGUUUUUAUAUAAUUGCAUUCACCAGUUGCCAACUAUGAAUGCAUAUUUGUAGUUAUGGUAGGAAUCACUUUUUUUUCAAAAUUUUUGAGCUCCAGUGUUUGGUGCGGGAGAACAAUUCAUUAAAAAUCUAGCUCUUAUUGACUUUUUUUUUUUUUCUGUUUAUUUGGUUUGUGUUCAUGCUGUUAAGCUUAUUGCUACUUUACAAGCUGAAAGAUUUUACUUGUUUAUCUCAAAUUGGUUUCAGUUCUAUAUUUUCCUUGUGGGUUUGGAACUUGGAUGCAUGCUCAUGUUAAAUACAUUCAUUAGCCAGUGAUGAUGCUUCACUGGUUGUACCUUUAUUAGUGGUCAAAUGUAGAAAUUAAACUUUCCACCUCAUUACCGUUUAGCACUUCGAGAUAUGUAGACAUUUUCUUUAAAAUUUAUGGUGAGCAGCCAGAGUUUUAUGGACAUGGUUAGUCAGACUCAGAACAAUAAACAAGCAAUACCUGGUAAUUGAAGUUUAAAUUGAAGCUAAUGUGGAAAAUUAUGUGGAGUGUGGCUAGGCCGAUGAUGUUUCUUCUCUUGGGUAUUGCUGAGUACACAAGCUCAUGCAUGCAAUAGCAGUCUCUGAAUUCUAAAAGUUAACUUUGACAAUGAAUAACUUGUCUUCAUUAGUGAGAGCCCGCUUCUUUUGUGAGUGUGAUGAGUCCGACAUUCAUGUAAAAUAGAUAUUGUGCAGUUAACAUAGUUGAACAAAGUUUCCUUGGAGGCGCAAUCAACUCCAUAGUGUUGUGGAGGAAGACAACAUAUGAAGAAUAAAAAAAUUUGUUUUCUUAUCAAAGAUAUGGGAUGCACUUCGGGCUGCUGCUGAAGCUGAAAUAACCUUUGCACAGGCAAUUGUUGAUAGUGCUGGUGUGAUUGUCCAGAGUGAGUAUUUGGCGUUCUGCUUUGAUGAGAGAGCUGCCAAGUAAGAGCUACCAAAGUAUGUCUUAUGUGAGCCAACCAAUUUGGUUUGGGAUAAUUGAUCAUAUAACCAAUAUGGUGCUCCAUUUAGACUGUAGAUCAUGUAAAUUAAUAUCCUUAUCCCUUCUAGUAAAAAAAAUGUGUCACCAAUCAAAGUUUAUGUACAACAUAAAUUGCUCAUGCGAGAGUUCGCUUUGUAGGUAAGCAGAAACAAUCUGCAUAUACUCAAAUAUGUUAGUGGGGCUUUCCAGGCCCGACUCAGUUUAGAAAGAAUAUGUUGCAUAACAUUCUUC